rnacentral:misc_RNA from 1 species
AACGCACAUUGCGCCCGCCAGUAUUCUGGCGGGCAUGCCUGUCUGAGCGUCAUUUCAACCCUCACGCCCACUUGGGCGUGGUGUUGGGGAUCGGCCAAGCCCUAUAGACGGGACGCCGGCCCCUAAAUCUAGUGGCGGGACCGCUGUGGCCUCCUCUGCGUAGUAGUGAUACCCCGCAUGUGGAGAGCGGCGAGCCCCUGCCGUUAAACCCCCAACUUUUUCAAGGUUGACCUCAGAUCAGGUAGGAAUACCCGCUGAACUUAA